CAGUCGCCGCGGUAAUACGUAGGUGGCAAGCGUUGUCCGGAUUUAUUGGGCGUAAAGCGAGCGCAGGCGGUCAAUUAAGUCUGAUGUGAAAGCCCCCGGCUCAACCGGGGAGGGUCAUUGGAAACUGGUUGACUUGAGUGCAGAAGAGGAAAGUGGAAUUCCAUGUGUAGCGGUGAAAUGCGUAGAUAUAUGGAGGAACACCAGUGGCGAAGGCGACUCUCCGGUCUGUAACUGACGCUGAGGCUCGAAAGCGUGGGUAGCAAACAGGAUUAGAUACCCCCGUAGUCCCUGUCUCUUAUAC
rnacentral:rRNA from 1 species